rnacentral:rRNA from 1 species
GACGUAGGGGGCCAGCGUUGUUCGGAAUUACUGGGCGUAAAGCGCGUGUAGGCUGUUCGGAAAGUCGGGUGUGAAAGCCCUGGGCUCAACCUAGGAAGUGCACUCGAAACUCCCGAACUGGAGUCCCGGAGAGGAAGGUGGAAUUCUCGGUGUAGAGGUGAAAUUCGUAGAUAUCGAGAGGAACAUCGGUGGCGAAGGCGGCCUUCUGGACGGUGACUGACGCUGAGACGCGAAAGCGUGGGGAGCAAACAGG